rnacentral:rRNA from 1 species
UACGAAGGGUGCAAACGUUGCUCGGAAUUAUUGGGCGUAAAGCGCACGUAGGCGGCUUUGCAAGUCCCAUGUGAAAGCCCACGGCUUAACCGUGGAAGUGCAUGGGAAACUGCAGAGCUUGAGUACUUAAGAGGAUCGCGGAAUUCCCGGUGUAGAGGUGAAAUUCGUAGAUAUCAAGCGGAACACCGGUGGCGAAGGCGGCCUUCUGGACGAGGACUGACGCUGAGACGCGAAAGCGUGGGGAGCAAACAGG